CCUACGGGAGGCUGCAGUGGGGAAUAUUGGACAAUGGGGGAACCCUGAUCCAGCCAUGCCGCGUGUGUGAAGAAGGCCCUCGGGUUGUAAAGCACUUUCAGUGAGGAAGAACGCCUGGUGGUUAAUACCCAUCAGGAAAGACAUCACUCACAGAAGAAGCACCGGCUAACUCCGUGCCAGCAGCCGCGGUAAUACGGAGGGUGCGAGCGUUAAUCGGAAUUACUGGGCGUAAAGCGCGCGUAGGUGGCUUGAUAAGCCGGUUGUGAAAGCCCCGGGCUCAACCUGGGAACGGCAUCCGGAACUGUCGAGCUAGAGUGCAGGAGAGGAAGGUAGAAUUCCCGGUGUAGCGGUGAAAUGCGUAGAGAUCGGGAGGAAUACCAGUGGCGAAGGCGGCCUUCUGGACUGACACUGACACUGAGGUGCGAAAGCGUGGGUAGCAAACAGGAUUAGAUACCCCUGUAGUC
rnacentral:rRNA from 1 species